CCCCCCAGCUAGUCCGUCUUCAGGCCUGCGGAGGAUCAUUAUCGAAUAAACUUGAACAGGCUGUUGCUGUCCCUUCAUUGGGUAUGUGCACGCUUGUCAUCUUUAUUUUCUCCAACUGUGCACCCUUUGUGGACCUGAGUGAUGAAAAUCGAGUUGGGGACUGCUGUGCUAACCACCGGCUUUCCCUUGUAUUUUUCAGGUCCAUGUCAUUUAUUUCACAAACCUAUGGAUUUGUUUAGAAUGUUGAAUUGGGUGCUUUCAUGUACCUUUGAAAUAAAUAUACAACUUUCAGCAACGGAUCUCUUGGCUCUCGCAUCGAUGAAGAACGCAGCGAAAUGCGAUAAGUAAUGUGAAUUGCAGAAUUCAGUGAAUCAUCGAAUCUUUGAACGCAUCUUGCGCUCCUUGGUAUUCCGAGGAGCAUGCCUGUUUGAGUGUCAUUUAAAUUCUUCAACCACAUGUGAUGUGGCUUGGAUAUUGGGGGGUUAUCAUUUGCAGGCCUUGAAAAGAGGUCUGCUCCCCUGAAAUGUAUUAGUGGUAUCUGCUACUACAGGUGUGAUAAUUUAUCUGUACCUUUAGUAUUCUGCAAAUGAUUAUGCUGCUUCUAAACAACCCAUUUGAUAUAUUUGACCUCAAAUCAGGUAGGACUACCCGCUGAACUUAAGCAUAUCAAUGAGCGGGGGGGGAACUCCCAGGUUUUGGUUUUUUCAAUCCCCCGAAGAAAAGAAAAAGCCUCCCCUAUUUAGUAUGUCCUUCCCCCUCCAUAAAG
rnacentral:misc_RNA from 1 species